rnacentral:lncRNA from 1 species
GAGAUUCUGUUUUCGAUAAGACGUGUUGUUCCUGAAAGAAAAAAAAAAAAAAAAAAAUUGUAUUAUGGUUCUUGAGGAAUUCACUGAGACUGUGGUGGUGUCCAUCGUAGGCAUGGUCCUGUUUACUACCUUUGGCAUUAUUGUUUAUGCCAUUGCCUGCGGGGGAACGCCCGGAUGUGGAGGCAGCGCCUCAGCAGCAGCAGCUAGCAAUGCGUCUCAACAAACCGCUCCUGUGCAACAAAUUUCGUCGUUGGGAUGACCUCAUCCUCUGCCAACGCAAGAAAACCUGCAAUACAAGAAAAUAAACAUCUCUAUAUUGCAAUACAUAUUUCCCGGAGCCUUUUCAAUCGAGAUACAU